rnacentral:tRNA from 1 species
GCGGUAGUAGCUCAGUUGGUAGAGCGUUGCCUUGCCAAGGCAAAGGUCGCCAGUUCAAACCUGGUCUACCGCUCAA